CCUACGGGUGGCUGCAGUGGGGAAUAUUGCACAGUGGGCGCAAGCCUGAUGCAGCCAUGCCGCGUGUGUGAAGAAGGCCUUCGGGUUGUAAAGCACUUUCAGCGGGGAGGAAGGCGUUAAGGUUAAUAACCUUGUCGAUUGACGUUACCCGCAGAAGAAGCACCGGCUAACUCCGUGCCAGCAGCCGCGGUAAUACGGAGGGUGCAAGCGUUAAUCGGAAUUACUGGGCGUAAAGCGCACGCAGGCGGUCUGUCAAGUCGGAUGUGAAAUCCCCGGGCUCAACCUGGGAACUGCAUUCGAAACUGGCAGGCUAGAGUCUUGUAGAGGGGGGUAGAAUUCCAGGUGUAGCGGUGAAAUGCGUAGAGAUCUGGAGGAAUACCGGUGGCGAAGGCGGCCCCCUGGACAAAGACUGACGCUCAGGUGCGAAAGCGUGGGGAGCAAACAGGAUUAGAUACCCGUGUAGUC
rnacentral:rRNA from 1 species